rnacentral:rRNA from 1 species
GACGAACGCUGGCGGCAUGCCUAACACAUGCAAGUCGAACGAGACCUUCGGGUCGAGUGGCGCACGGGUGCGUAACGCGUGGGAACCUGCCAUUAGGUUCGGAAUAACUCCCCGAAAGGGGUGCUAAUACCGGAUAAUGACUUCGGACCAAAGAUUUAUCGCCUUUGGAUGGGCCCGCGUUGGAUUAGCUGGUUGGUAGGGUAAAAGCCUACCAAGGCGACGAUCCAUAGCUGGUCUGAGAGGAUGAUCAGCCACACUGGGACUGAGACACGGCCCAGACUCCUACGGGAGGCAGCAGUGGGGAAUAUAGGACCAGGGGCGAAAGCCUGAUCCAGCAAGGCCGCGUGAGUGAUGAAGGCCUUAGGGUUGUAAAGCUCUUUUACCCGGGAUGAUAAUGACAGUACCGGGAGAAUAAGCUCCGGCUAACUCCGUG